rnacentral:tRNA from 1 species
AUCUGUGUAGUUUAAUACAGAACAGUAGACUUUCUAUCUACUGGUCCCCAGUUUGGGGUACAGAUU